rnacentral:misc_RNA from 1 species
AACGCACAUUGCGCCCGCUAGUAUUCUGGCGGGCAUGCCUGUUCGAGCGUCAUUUCAACCAUCAAGCCCCCGGCUUGCGUUGGAGCCCUGCGGCUGCCGCAGGCUCCCAAAUUCAGUGGCGGGCUCGUCGUCGUACCGAGUGCAGUAAACAUCCUCGCUCAGGGAACGCGUCGGGUUCUUGCCGUGAAACCCCCCCCACAUCAAGGUUGACCUCGGAUCAGGUAGGAAUACCCGCUGAACUUAA